AUGUUCUCACAGGGGGCGAUAUGGACCAUAGAGAUCAAAUCUACCAAGAAGAAGAACAAGGACAACAACAAGAAGGGUACCACAUCCGGUUCAGCGAGCAAGUUUUUCCGCGGGCAACAAGCCGGGCUCACAAUUGAAGAGGCUUCUGGCCAAAGGUGCAGCCGACAGACUCGGAGGACAUGCGGAAGGGAGCCCAACCUUUGGACACAUGUGAGUUUUGACCCUUGUU